rnacentral:rRNA from 1 species
AGAAUCAACGCUGGCGGCGUGCCUAACACAUGCAAGUCGCACGAGAAAGGGUAGCAAUACCUGAGUACAGUGGCGCACGGGUGAGUAACACGUGAAUAAUCUACCUCCGAGUGGGGAAUAAACUGAGAGAAAUCUUAGCUAAUACCGCAUAACACUUACGAGUCAAAGCAGCAAUGCGCUUGGAGAGGAGUUCGCGGCAGAUUAGUUAGUUGGCGGGGUAAUGGCCCACCAAGACGAUGAUCUGUAUCCGGCCUGAGAGGGCGCACGGACACACUGGAACUGAAACACGGUCCAGACUCCUACGGGAGGCAGCAGUGGGGAAUUUUGCGCAAUGGGGGAAACCCUGACGCAGCAACGCCGCGUGGAGGAUGAAAUCCCUUGGGAUGUAAACUCCUUCGAUCGGGAAGAUAAUGACGGUACCGAGAGAAGAAGCCCGGCUAACUACGUGCCAGCAGCCGC